rnacentral:ncRNA from 1 species
GCGAUAGAGGUCGCGGAAGACAUCAGUACUCACUAGGAGGCGCGGAAGCCGAUGAUUAGGGAGGAAAGGGUACUUUCGCCGAAGUCAGAUCCAUACUCCGCUAUGUUUCUGAUUGGGGUCGUUACCGAAGAGGACGGCACUGUCACAAAGCUUUUGUUUUGUGGAGCACUAUA